rnacentral:rRNA from 1 species
GGGAACGUACCCUUCGGUUCGGAAUAACUCAGGGAAACUUGAGCUAAUACCGGAUACGCCCUUUUGGGGAAAGGUUUACUGCCGAAGGAUCGGCCCGCGUCUGAUUAGCUUGUUGGUGGGGUAACGGCCUACCAAGGCGACGAUCAGUAGCUGGUCUGAGAGGAUGAUCAGCCACACUGGGACUGAGACACGGCCCAGACUCCUACGGGAGGCAGCAGUGGGGAAUAUUGGACAAUGGGCGCAAGCCUGGUCCAGCCAUGCCGCGUGAGUGAUGAAGGCCUUAGGGUUGUAAAGCUCUUUUGUCCGGGACGAUAAUGACGGUACCGGAAGAAUAAGCCCCGGCUAACUUCGUGCCAGCAGCCGCGGUAAUACGAAGGGGGCUAGCGUUGCUCGGAAUCACUGGGCGUAAAGGGCGCGUAGGCGGCCGAUUAAGUCGGGGGUGAAAGCCUGUGGCUCAACCACAGAAUUGCCUUCGAUACUGGUUGGCUUGAGACCGGAAGAGGACAGCGGAACUGCGAGU